GAUGAACGCUGGCGGCGUGCCUAACACAUGCAAGUCGAGCGGUGAACCUGCUUUCGGGUGGGGGAUCAGCGGCGAACGGGUGAGUAACACGUGGGUAACCUGCCCUUGACUUUGGGAUAACUCCGGGAAACCGGGGCUAAUACCGGAUAGGAGCUCCUGCUGCAAGGUGGGGGUUGGGCAGGGUUUCUGGUCAGGGAUGGGCCCGCGGCCUAUCAGCUUGUUGGUGGGGUGAUGGCCUACCAAGGCGACGACGGGUAGCCGGCCUGAGAGGGUGUUCGGCCACACUGGGACUGAGACACGGCCCAGACUCCUACGGGAGGCAGCAGUGGGGAAUCUUGCACAAUGGGCGCAAGCCUGAUGCAGCGACGCCGCGUGCGGGAUGACGGCCUUCGGGUUGUAAACCGCUUUCAGCAGGGACGAAGCGAUGAGUGACGGUACCUGCAGAAGAAGCCCCGGCCAACUACGUGCCAGCCGCCGCCGUAAGAC
rnacentral:rRNA from 1 species